rnacentral:rRNA from 1 species
UGGGGAAUAUUGGACAAUGGGGGCAACCCUGAUCCAGCAAUGCCGCGUGAGUGAAGAAGGCCUUCGGGUUGUAAAGCUCUUUUGUCAGGGAAGAAACGGUAGUAGCGAAUAACUAUUACUAAUGACGGUACCUGAAGAAUAAGCACCGGCUAACUACGUGCCAGCAGCCGCGGUAAUACGUAGGGUGCAAGCGUUAAUCGGAAUUACUGGGCGUAAAGCGUGCGCAGGCGGUUGUGUAAGUCAGAUGUGAAAUCCCCGGGCUCAACCUGGGAAUUGCAUUUGAGACUGCACGGCUAGAGUGUGUCAGAGGGGGGUAGAAUUCCACGUGUAGCAGUGAAAUGCGUAGAUAUGUGGAGGAAUACCGAUGGCGAAGGCAGCCCCCUGGGAUAACACUGACGCUCAUGCACGAAAGCGUGGGGAGCAAACAGGAUUAGAUACCCGCGUAGUCCCUGAGCGGGCUGGCAAGGCGCAU